CCCUCUGGAGCCACGCGUGCGCAGUCGCCUAGGGUGGGACAGUGGGCGGGGCCGCCCCGCGCGCGCGCGCGUUCGCGCAUGCGUAGGCCUCCCCUCCCGAGGGCGCUUCCGGGAGGCCCGGGAGGGUGGGGUCUCCCGGCGGUUCCAGCCCCGCUGCAACCUCCCGCGAGUGCGGACUCUCGCCGUUCUCUGUCUUAUAAAUUACCUCCAAGGAUGGUGGCAGUAAAAGACGACAUUUAAGGUUUUAGAUUCCCUUCAAGUUAAAUGUCUUCCAAGUAGCUUAUUUGGCACUUGAAACUAAUGUAACGUGUCACAAACAUUAAAUUCAAACCUUUAUCUAGUUGACUCAGUUUUAAUAAAGGAAUAAAGAGGAAUUAAAAUUAACUAAAUUGAGGCUUUGUAACAUUGUUAGGAUUGGAGAAACUCUCAAACCCUGGUCAGAUUUCCUCCUCCCUCGGCAGGAUCUACCUACCCAAACUUAAGUGUGGUUAGUGUCAGUCUAGCCUCACGCAUCUUCCUGUGGGGUCAGCUGCAAAUAAUGCGAGAUGCAAGAUCUGAUUGCUGAACAGCUGUCUUCACGCUGAAGUAAGACCAGCUACUAAUUGGCAAUCUGAUUACGACGCAAAAACAUUUUCCACGGAAAUGAUGGCCACUUUUUGGUCGGCUGACUUACCUGGAGCCUUUCAGAUCCUUCCCGGAAUUGAGUGCGUUGAUAAUGGUAUAGGCACCGAGCACACAGUAUCUACCGCAAAACAGGCGCUUAAUGUAAGAAGGGUUCCCUUCCACAUCAGACUGAGGUGACCUAUGCAACAGGAAGUUUGUAGAAUUGUACCUACACCAAGAGUGCAGACUGCCCAGACAGCAUCUCAGUACUACAUGAAGAUCAGAAUUUUCCUGGUGAAACAUUUGCAUUGUAAUUUAGUGGUUUUGGAAAUCAUAAAAAAUAACAUAGCCAUCCUUCUAAGACCUGCUUAAUGGAAGAGCAGCUGUGACGAAUGGCCUAAUGUAGAACAAGACAGUAUUUGAAGAGUUAACUGAACAUGAAACUGACUUAAGAACGUCUACUUAACUGCAAAGGCAGAUGGUGAUUUAUAUGUAAGAAUGUUUGCUGCAGCACUGCUUAAACCCAUGUCAACAAAUUUAUAAACCAUUUCCCUAAUCAUGAUUUCUAACACUAAUUAAUAAAAUGAAAAAAUGCUCAUAAUAACAUAAA